GUGCACUCCUAUGGGCUGUGGGUGCACCCCAAUGGGCUGUGGGUGGACCCCAAUGAGCUGUGGGUGCACCCCUAUGGGCUGUGAGUGCACUCCUAUGGGCUGUGAGUGCACCCCAAUGGGCUGUGGGUGUUCCCCUAUUAGCUGUGAGUGCACCCCAAUGGGCUGUGGGUGGACCCCUAUUGGCUGUGAGUGCACCCCAAUGGGCUGUGGGUGUACCCCUAUUGGCUGUGAGUAUACCCCAAUGGGCUGUGAGUGCACCCCUAUUAGCUGUGGGUGUACCCCAGUGAGCUGUGAGUGCACCCCUAUGGGCUGUGAGUGAACCUCUAUUAGCUAUGGGGUGUACCCCUAUGGGCUGUGGGUGGACCCCUAUGGGCUGUGGGUGCACCCCUAUGGGCUGUGAGUGGACCCCUAUUGGCUGUGAGUGCACCCCAAUGGGCUGUGGGUGGACCCCUAUGGGCUGUGAGUGUACUCCUAUGGGCUGUGAGUGCACCCCAAUGGGCUGUGGGUGGACCCCUAUGGGCUGUGGGUGUUCCCCUAUUAGCUGUGAGUGUACCCCCAUGGGCUGCGGGUGUACCCCAAUGGGCUGCGGGUGUACCCCAAUGGGCUGCGGGUGUACCCCAAUGGGCUGUGAGUGCACCCCAAUGGGCUGUGGGUGUUCCCCUAUUAGCUGUGAGUGCACCCCAAUGGGCUGUGGGUGGACCCCUAUUGGCUGUGAGUGCACCCCAAUGGGCUGUGGGUGUACCCCAAUGGGCUGUGGGUGUACCCCAAUGGGCUGUGAGUGCACCCUAAUGGGCUGUAAGGUGUACCCCAAUGAGCUGCGGGGUGUACCUCUAUUAGUGGGGUGUACCCCAAUGAGCUGCAGGCUGUACCCUGGUUAGUUGUCAGGGUGUACCCCAUUUAGCCGUGGGUUGCACCCCAGUUAGCUCCCCGUUGUACCCCAAUGAGCUGCAGGCUGUACCCGUUAGCUGUAAGGUGUACCCCAAUGAGCUGCGGGGUGUACUUUUAUUAGCUGUGGGGCGUACCCCAAUGAGCUGCGGGGUGUACCCCAAUGAGCCUCAGGGUGUACCCCAAUGAGCCUCAGGGUGUACCCCGGUGAGCUGUAGGAGUGUACCUCGGUUGGCUGUGGGGUACCCCAAUGAGCUGCGGGGCGUACCCCAUUGAACUGCAGGGUGUACCCCAUGAGCUGCGGUGUACCCCAUUGAGCUGCGGGGCGUACCCAAAGAGCCACAGGUCGUACCCCAUUGAGCUGCGGGGCGUACCCCAUGAGCUGCGGGGCGUACCCCAUUGAGCUGCGGGUGUACCCCAUUGAGCUGCGGGUGUACCCCAGUUGGCUGUGAGGCGCACCCCAACGAGCCGUGGGGGGGGGGUGGGGGGCUGCACCCCACUGAGCUGCGGGGUGCGCCCGGUGGUGAUGGGUGGGCGGCUGCGCCGGAUGACCUCGGAGGGCUUUUCCAACCCUGGCGAUUUUAGGAUUCCAGGACGAUCUGCGGGGUGCACCCCAUCAACUGCGCGUCGGACCCCAUUCAAUGCGCACUGCACCCCAUCAACUGCGCGUCGGACCCCAUUCAAUGCGCACUGCACCCCAUCAACUGCG
ensembl:lncRNA